ensembl:lncRNA
AUGCAUCCCCUGAAUGCAUCUCCCACGUAUUUGCAGAAAAGGACUGUUUCCUGUUCAAGUCCUGAUGCCCUGCCAAACGUUCAUUCUCAAAUUCACUGCUGCUGCAAGUUGCCAUUGUCCUAUCGACAUCAAAGUGCCACCACUGCAGGAUCUGUCCCUAUAUGGUCACAGAAGGAGCUCAAAUGGCUGUAUGAGCUAUUUCGCAUGUGCAAAAAUAUGCGCGUGCUCAUGCUGGUACGGCUGUGCCUACAGUGCUACACCAGAAUGCAAAGCCCUCUUGCAGGGUCCAGACGAAGUCUUGCAGAAUAUCAAAGAGGCCAAUUACAGAAAUGUCUGGGCAUGCUGAUGGGAUGGUGUAGUUAACUCCUACUGCAGUGAGACUGUUCAAGAAGAAGCUACAAAGUUCUUGGGUCAAUAGUUUUACCAUUUUCCCCAAGGAACUCUUUUUCCUUCUCUCUCUGGCAGUCUCCCCUCUGCAUCACUUAGGCACUUUCAGGCUACAUCAGAAAUCUCUUCUUGAGCACACAGAGUCAUAUCAGACUCCGUCAGUAAGAUUUGAAUUCUCCCUCGCAGUUUCUGAAGGUGCACGGAGACAGCUAUGAAGGGGCCUGCUAAACUAGCUUAUCAGACAAAAAUGACACAAAGAGCUGUCAACGUGUGCUAUGGCUUGCUGACUACUGCAGGGAGCAAAGAGGACUCACGCCGUGUGAGGGCUUGCUGGUGGCUGGGCUCUGUCUGUGUUAGAGCUCAGUGGCAAGAGCAAGAGGGAUCCUGACAUCUUUGCCUGAUUCUUGAAUCUGUUUGAACAUCAUGACAAAGGGAGAAAGAAUUAAUGUUCAGAAAUGAAUAAUUUCUAAGGAAGAUGAACUCCUUAAUAUCAUACAUAAGAUGUUAUGAGGCACGGAAUAUUUGCUGUGCUUAAUUUCAUCAUUCUGUACAACCACAUUCUGCUAGAGACACUCAUGGGAUGGAAUGGAGUGGGCCUAUAUCGCUCAAAUAAGACAAACAAAUGUAUUUGGGUUGUAAUUUGUAUUAGAUGAUAGAUCCUAUGGUAAUUUUAUAUCAAAUAACUCAUUCUUACACUCCCUGAGAGCAUGGUUGUUUAUAGUAGCCUGUCUGUCCUUCGCAUCUCUUUUACUGGUGCAGCAGGAAACACGAUAGCAAGGGGAUUUGCUUGUGACUGAUAUAUCUACUGCAUAUGCAAUGUGCACAGGUCAUAUAUAGUUGCAGAAUACAUGGUAAAGCAUUCUUCUGUAAAAUUUAGCUAUGUGAAAUUGCUUUCCAGUUCCUUUGCUUCCAAUUGCCUUUGGUGGGGAUUCGAUAUAUUUUUUUUUCCUGUAGAUUAUUUCUGGGCUCAGAUAAUGAAGCUAUAAGCAUUUGAAAGCUGUCAUUUCUAGUUAAAUCUCCAUGCUGAAAAGGAUUAUUACAUAUCAGUGUCUAGGCAGUUUGUGUCAGUAUAAUUCAGCAGAUCAGGUACUGGACACUCUAACUCUAUGAAUUGUCACAGUCACUGGACAAGUCACUCUGACUGUAGUGCAGGGUGUUAAUAGCUAUGGAUGUUUGCUUUAAUAAAUCCUUCCUUCCUCUCUUUUCA